AUGCAGCGUUCCUGGUACAGCAGCGGUCCGGCCCGUGGACGGACUCUCCGGAUGCUGCGGGUUUCCUGUCCGGAAGGCCAGGCUGACGUCAGGGUGUGUGGGGACUCACCGCUCCAGGCCUGGGGUUUGGACGUGACACCUGGAGGGCCCCAGGAAUGUGCGCGGCUCCUUCCAAGGCAGCCCCAGCCCCGACAGCUCAAAGUCACGUGCCCGCUGGCGACGUCCGUCCGCAUGCGCCCCGUGGAGGCACCUCUCCCGUCUGGAGGCCGUGAGAGCGGGGACAAUCUUCCCAACCGGCAAGCUCGGGACGGUUUCAGCAGUGCACGGUGGGGUCCCGUUGCCCAGCGCUGAGCAGAUAAAAGAGGGGGGAGCCCACAGGUCAGCGGAGCCAUCUGGAACCCCCCACCGCCGGCCCGGCUGCAGACAGAUGGCUGAGGGCAACAGUCCUUCCCUGCCCCCGUGCCUCGUCGCCUCCUGAGCCCAGGUGUCUGUCCUCUAUGGCCUUCUUCCCGCACUGGACAAUCCUUGGCUGUUAAAUGUCUCAAGAAGGCCAGGGGAUGAACUUGCUGCCGGGCAAAACAGUCCCUCCGUCUGGGGUUUAUUAGAAAGAGCUCUGAAACUUUACGGAGGGGUACGGGGUGGAAAGUCUAAGGGGACCCAGACUUGUAACCUCUGAAACGGGAGGAGGCGCAGGGCCGGGGUGGGGUGUGUGGCAGGCGUUGGCAUGGGCGGUAGGCUGACUUGAGAUCAGGAAGCAACCGCCAGCCUCUGCUUCCCGAUUCCACACCAGGUACAACUCAGCCUCAGCUAAGCAAACAAAUGCUAGGCUAACGACUGCCUGCUGUUUUUUAGCUGCCAGAUUCUGGGAGGAAAAGGGGAAGGAAAGCCGAGCCCAGGCACUUGGGGAGCUUGUGGUGGAGACUUCGCGGUUAUGUCAGAAGAGGAGAGAGCCAUUGUACAUGAAGCUAAGCUAAGAUCCUGGAGACAAGCAGACGGUGUAUGUGGGAAAGAUUGCUAGUUCCCCAACUCCCUGUCCAUCCUUCUCCAUUAGUAUUAAGGACCCCAGCUUUUGGCUGAAUACAUUGUAUGCAGAUAAAAGACAACACCCCCACGCUACGGUCUGACUGAGUAAGGAAUGCCUUCUUGGGUGGAUUGCAGAGGUGAUGACUGUCUCUCAAGCAGCCAUUCUGGACCAUGAGGUAUCACAGUCAGGACAAAGCAAUGUGGAAGAAGUCUGAAUCCCAACUCUUCCCUGAGCACGUUGUAAUGGAAAGCCCUCAGCGUAGCUAGGUAUGUUCCCUGUCUUCUCUUGCAGUUGGGUGUGACCGUGUGCCUAAAGUUCGGCCAAUAUCGGAAGCAGAUGUGUUAUAUGCAACUUUCAGAAACAUCCUUAAACAGCAGGGCUGUGCCCUCUGCUAUGGACUGCAAUUUGUCCCCCUCCUCAAAUUCACGUGUCAAAGCCCUAACCCCCGUGGGACGACAUUUGGUUGGGGGAUCUUUGGGAAGAAUCUGGCUUUAGAUGAGGUGAUGAGUGUGGGUUCCAGGAUGGGAUUAGUGUCCUUACAAGAAGAGACUCGUUCUCUCUGUGCUGCGUGAGGACACGGCGAGAAAGCAGCUAUCUACAAGCCAGGGAGAGAAGCCCCCACAAGCCGCCAGUGAGGCACCCUGAUCUCGGACUUGCCGCCUCCAGAAAUGUGAAAAAUAAAUGUCUGUUCUUAACGGCGCCCGAGCUGACGGAGGCACCCUCCUUCAUUCCGCCCGCCCCGCUGGGGGGGACACCGGAGCCGCUGGCGUGGGAGAGAGCUUGCUGAUGGUGAAGCCGUUAAGGAACCAGAUGCUGAUCUCUCUGGGCCAGAUCGCUCCCUACGAUGGUCUCGGAUUUGCGAUGUACUACAGGACAGAACGGACAUAUAAACCUUCAACGUGAAUAUGGCUUUCUAAUGAAAAACAAAAAAACAAAAAAACCCUGAGUAAUUAUUUUGCCUGAAAAUUCUCACUCCAUGGGCUAAUAGGCAUUUUCCUUGUUCUCACGUUCCCAGGUUAGGCGGGUGUCUCCGAGGUUCCCUAACAGAUUCUCAUACACACGGUGGCUUCAAACAGCGGGACUAUGCACGCUCUCACCUGCGAUCAAGGUAUCCCCGUGCCGGGCUCCCUCCAGAGCCUGCAUGAGAGGAGGCCUCCUGCCUUGCCCGGCGCCCGGAGGCUGCAGCCGUCCCGCAUCUGCGGUGGCAGAGCCCGUCUUCGGCCUCUGGGCCUGUCCCUGUGUGUCCCUGUAGGCAUACUGACCAGACUGAGGGCCCACCAGAUAACCCGGGAUGGUCUCAUGUCGAGAUCCUCCCAUUAAUUAUGCCUGCAAAGACCCUUUUCCCACAGAAGUUCCCACUGAAAGUUUCCAGGACUGUGACACCCCCAAACCUCCCCGCAGGACCCUCCUGGACCUGUCACUGUGGGCGACUGCAAACAAAACAUGAACAGGCUUGCAGAAGGCCAUCGAGAACAAAUAAGAAACUUGAGAGGGAGGCAAAC
ensembl:lincRNA